UGGCGGACGGGUGAGUAACGCGUGGGUAACCUGCCUCAUACAGGGGGAUAACAGUUAGAAAUGACUGCUAAUACCGCAUAAGACCACAGCACCGCAUGGUGCAGGGGUAAAAACUCCGGUGGUAUGAGAUGGACCCGCGUCUGAUUAGGUAGUUGGUGGGGUAGCGGCCUACCAAGCCGACGAUCAGUAGCCGACCUGAGAGGGUGACCGGCCACAUUGGGACUGAGACACGGCCCAA
rnacentral:rRNA from 1 species